AGAUCCAAAACCGGAGACGCUUGCCUUCACGCCUCCGGUUCCUAGAGCGGUGAGGUAUAAGGCUAGGUAUAGGACCGUCAGCUGUAUUCCACUCGCUUGCACGCAAUGAGACGACGUCGUUGGGUUGCAUCUUGGUGGUCUAAGUCCCGGUAUGAUCGUUGAGAGAGUUAAGAUCGAAACACCCUAUAAUAAUCAUGGUCAUUACAUAAAUAUUUAUUUUUCGGAAAAAUAAAACAAAAAUAAAAACUUAUGUCGUUUACUAUUUUGAUCGUCUAGUCAACAUUUAUAAUUUUUUCAUUUUCUUGGCUAUAAUUUAUGGUAAGACGAAAGGGACUUGUAAGGUCCUUACCGUUGCUUGGAUUGCGGCGAAUAUAGCAAUCGUUAGGUACCUAUAUGAAAAAAAAAUUAACUAACUCAAUUAAAAUGAGUAAGAAAAUGAAACGAUUUUCUUUAAAUUAUACAGGUAUAUAGUGAAUUUCUAUAACAAAUAUUAAACACAAACCUGCCGAGAAAGGUGUCAGCGAUGAAGCCACCGAGGAGAC
rnacentral:lncRNA from 1 species